AUUGAACGCUGGCGGCAUGCCUUACACAUGCAAGUCGAACGGCAGCACGGGAGCAAUCCUGGUGGCGAGUGGCGAACGGGUGAGUAAUAUAUCGGAACGUGCCCAGUCGUGGGGGAAACGCAGCGAAAGCUGUGCUAAUACCGCAUACGAUCUAUGGAUGAAAGCGGGGGAUCGCAAGACCUCGCGCGAUUGGAGCGGCCGAUAUCAGAGUAGCUAGUUGGUGAGGUAAAGGCUCACCAAGGCGACGAUCUGUAGCUGGUCUGAGAGGACGACCAGCCACACUGGAACUGAGACACGGUCCAGACUCCUACGGGAGGCAGCAGUGGGGAAUUUUGGACAAUGGGCGAAAGCCUGAUCCAGCAAUGCCGCGUGCAGGAUGAAGGCCUUCGGGUUGUAAACUGCUUUUGUACGGAACGAAACGGUGAGCUCUAAUACAGUUUGCUAAUGACGGUACCGUAAGAAUAAGCACCGGCUAACUACGUGCCAGCAGCCGCCGUAA
rnacentral:rRNA from 1 species